AAGUCGUAACAAGGUUUCCGUAGGUGAACCUGCGGAAGGAUCAUUAUAGUAUAGCAAAGGUGCAACGGCUGUUGCUGACCUUUCAAAGGUUGUGCACGCCCGAGUGCUUUUUAUCAUACAAUCCAUCUUACCCAUUUUGUGCAUCACCGUGUCAGUCUCCUUUGAAGGGGGCUUGCGCUUUUCACAUAAAACACAAUAAAGUAUAGAAUGCUUUAACAUUUUGUGGUCAUACACAAUCAAUAUAACUUUCAACAACGGAUCUCUUGGCUCUCGCAUCGAUGAAGAACGCAGCGAAAUGCGAUACGUAAUGUGAAUUGCAGAAUUCAGUGAAUCAUUGAAUCUUUGAACGCACCUUGUGCCCCUUGGCAUUCUGAGGGGCAUACCCGUUUGAGUGUCGUGAAAUUCUCAAAACCUUUUUCUUUAAUAUAGGAAAAAGGACUUUUGGACUUGGAGGGUUAAAUGCUUGCUCUCACUUUUGAAAGUGAGCUCCUCUUAAAUGAAUUAGUAGGGUUCACUUUGCUGAUCCUUGACAUGAUAAGACAUUUUUAUGUUUUGGAUUUAGUAAUGCCCUGUUUCUAACUGUCUUAUGUGGACAAUGAUGGUGUUCUGGUCAUCACUUACACUUGGUGUGAGACUGGACUGGACCCAUGAAAUAAAACCCCUUGACCUCAAAUCGGGUAAGACUACCCGCUGAACUUAA
rnacentral:rRNA from 1 species